CAUCGUUGCAGUCUGUGCAAAUACUCAAAGCCAAUAGAUGGAUCACUUGGUCAAAGGGCCCAAACAGGGUACGGACGGAAAUGACCAUUGGAGACAUAGUAACAUAGUCAUCCGUCAGUGAAGCAG